rnacentral:rRNA from 1 species
GUGCGCUUUAUGCAUGCAAGUCGAGGGAGAAGCAGUUGUUCCGUAAGGUUCAGCUGUGGAAACCGGCGAACGGGUGAGUAUCACGUGAGGAACCUGCCCCCUAGACCGGGAUAGCCCGAGGAAACUCGGAUUAAUACCGGAUACUCUCACUGGACCGCAUGGUCCGUUGAGGAAACAGUCCGCUGCUAGGGGAUGGUCUCGCGGCCUAUCAGGUAGUUGGUGAGGUAACGGCCCACCAAGCCGAAGACGGGUAGCUGGUCUGAGAGGACGAUCAGCCACACUGGAACUGAGAUACGGUCCAGACUCCUACGGGAGGCAGCAGCAGGGAAUAUUGCACAAUGGGCGAAAGCCUGAUGCAGCGACACCGCGUGCGGGAUGACGGCCUUCGGGUUGUAAACCGCUUUCAGGAGGGAAGAAAAUGACGGUACCUCCAGAAGAAGCUCCGGCCAACUACGUGCCAGCAGCCGCGGUAAUACGUAGGGAGCAAACGUUGUCCGGAUUUAUUGGGCGUAAAGGGCUCGUAGGCGGUUCAACAAGUCGAUCGUGAAAGCCCGGGGCUCAACCCCGGGACGCCGGUCGAAACUGUUGUGACUAGAGUUCGGUAGAGGUGAGUGGAAUUCUCAGUGUAGCGGUGGAAUGCGCAGAUAUUGAGAGGAACACCAUUAGCGAAGGCGGCUCACUGGGCCGAUACUGACGCUGAGGAGCGAAAGCGUGGGGAGCAAACAGGAUUAGAUACCCUGGUAGUCCACGCCGUAAACGAUGAACACUAGGUGUGGCGGAUUUAUUCACGUCCGCUGUGCCGUAGCUAACGCAUUAAGUGUUCCGCCUGGGGAGUACGGCCGCAAGGCUAAAACUCAAGGAAUUGACGGGGACCCGCACAGCGGCGGAGCAUGCGGCUUAAUUCGAUGCAACCCGAAGAACCUUACCUGGGUUUGACAUCAUGGGUCUAGCUGUGGAAACACAGUGUGCUUACGC